rnacentral:ncRNA from 1 species
AUGAAAAAGGCAAACUUGCUGAAAGGCAAGGACGCAAAGCCAAGGGUCUAAAGCAGUAUGCCAUGACAGCCGGUUACCA